rnacentral:rRNA from 1 species
UACGUAGGGGGCGAGCGUUGUCCGGAUUUAUUGGGCGUAAAGAGCUCGUAGGCGGUUCGGUAAGUCGGAUGUGAAAUCUCCACGCUCAACGUGGAGGGGCCAUUCGAUACUGCCGUGACUCGAGUCCGGUAGGGGAGUGUGGGAAUUCCCGGUGUAGCGGUGAAAUGCGCAGAUAUCGGGAGGAACACCGGUGGCGAAGGCGGGUCUCUGGGCCGAUACUGACGCUGAGGCGCGAAAGCGUGGGGAGCAAACAGG